AUAAAAAAUAAAUUUUUAUUUUGUAUAAUCUCUAUAAUAUGGUUAGAGAGUUUCUACCAAGAGCCGUAAAUUCUUGAUUACAAAGAUAAUAGGUGAGUUU
rnacentral:ncRNA from 2 species